GUCCUGCCAGCUUCAGUAGUACAUAUACUAAAAUUGGAAUGAUACAAAGGAGAUUAUAAGAUAGCCUGUGUUCAAGGAUGAUACACAGAUUCAUGAAGCCUUCCAUAUAUGG
ensembl:snRNA U6 U6 spliceosomal RNA